rnacentral:lncRNA from 1 species
AACCAACACUACAGCUCGCUUUAUUUAGUAAACAAUAAGCACUUCGAGCUUUGCUUGCUGGAUUUAAUAAUUGCUCAAACUCAAAAGCCAUAGGGGUUGGCAGGGAGGAGGCGAGGAGAAAGGAGAACCUUCAAUGGGGUGGCCUUAGGUAUGGUUAAGCCAGGAGACUCUGACAUGUCAACAGGCUGAUCCAAUGGGGUUGCUAGUUCAAAUGCAUGAAGGAGUCGAGCAAGCGUGAGGUGAAGGACCUGGAGAGCAGAUGAUGCACCUGGGCAAGAACGUCGGCCAGAGCCAAAAGGAAUGAGUUCAAAUUGUUGGCCCCUAACAUCAACAUCUGCAUGGGCGCCAUGGCCUGGGAGAAAUCUCUCUGGUUGGAAGGCUGAUGGAUUUUCCCAAACCCUUGGAUCCCUUUGAAUUUUCCAAGCAUUUAUCAUCAAGCGGGUGCCAGCCGGGACAUGGUACCCAGAGACAGUGCAAUCUUCCAUUGCUUCACGUGGUGCUAAGAGAGGACCCGCGGGAUACAAGCGGAGGGUCUCUUUGAUAAUCGCUUGGAGAUACACUAGGUUUUGGGUGUCCGACUCAUCAACUGCUCGUUCCUUACCAACUUGUUGGUCCAAUUCUUCGUGUGCCCUCUUCAACGCAUGGCGGUUGUUCAAGAGUAAAGAAAUGGCCCAUGUCAGGGUGCCUGAUGUAGUAUCACUGCCACCAAGGAUGAGUGCCUGCGCAAACAAUUUAGAAUAUGAUGACUAUAUAUAGGGAAUUAACCCUCUCGACCAGUUUAAUCAACACUUAUUCAAACAAAAAUAAUUUACGUAAUUAAUUAAUUGAUGGAUUUGUAUCCUAUCAUAAUCUAAUUUUUCCUAAAAUUCGAAACACCUAAUAUGACAUGAUUAUUGUCUGGUUGAGAUAUAUUUCCACAGAUUCGUGCUUCACCAAUUCUUUUUCUGAGUGGUUAACGUCAAUUAAAUUUAUCAACAUAGGUGCUUUGGAGAGCAAAAUAGCUUAAGGAAGUGAUUCGCCAAAAAAAAAAAAAAAAAUCAUAAUUUUGCCUUCUCAGAUCACACGAAAGGUUUUCUUUGAAUGAUUUUUUUUAAAAAAAGCAGUCUCUUUUUCUUAGCCAUCAGCACUCUAGCUAGAAGUUUUGGAAGGAAUCUAGGUACAUCUAGAUGCAAUCUGCAUAGAAUCAAAUAAAUAUAUCCUAGCCGUAUAAUAUUAUAUUUGUCUCUUUACCAUUUUCCUAGCUAUUAUACUAAACAGUAAAACUGAUAGUAUAUUUAAAAGCAGUCAAAUUAAAGCACGUUGAGAUCUCCACUCUUGUAACUGUCACAUGAUUAGAAAAUAACUUUGUCAUUUAAUUUGUUUUAUAGGUAAAGGAACCAAUCAGAAAACCCAGGAAUUUGUCGGAUAAAACCUCGACGGUUAUUAAGAGAGAAAUAGAAAUUGGUACAUCAGUACCGUAAAACGCUUUAAUCAAAAGGCUAGCUAGGUGAUAGUCAUGUACUUUACCAAGCAUGUAGCUUUGUUGAUGGUAUCAGCAUCACGACCAGGAAAUUCUUGUGCUCCGAUAUCGUCGAGGAUGGAAAGCAUGGCGCCCAUAAAAUUGCCUUCUCGUCCUUUGAUCUGAUCAUCACCAGAAUCCCCCUUCCUUCUGUGCUCAUCCAACCAUCGUUGCAUGAUAAGGUCUAAUUCUCUUGCUGUCUUCUUCAUUAACCUCUCAUCUCCGCCAAUAUCCAACCAUCUCAAAAACGGUAGAGCAUCUGACACCACCAACUUACCCAUGAAUUCAAAAAAUCUCGACAAUUCAUCUUUCCAUCCUUGAUCACUACU